rnacentral:rRNA from 1 species
UUCCCAUCCCGAACACGGAAGUUAAGCCCUCCUGCGCCGAUGGUACUUGGGACGUUGGUCCCUGGGAGAGUAGGUCGUUGCCAGAU